rnacentral:rRNA from 1 species
UACGGGGGGGUAAGGCGUUGUUCGGAAUUACUGGGCGUAAAGGGCUCGUAGGCGGCCAACUAAGUCGGACGUGAAAUCCCUCAGCUUAACUGGGGAACUGCGUCCGAUACUGGAUGGCUUGGAUUUGGGAAGAGGGAUGCGGAAUUCCGAGGUGUAGCGGGUGAAAUGCGUAGAUAUCUGGAGGAACACCGGUGGCGAAGGCGGCAUCCUGGACCAAUAUUGACGCUGAGGAGCGAAAGCCAGGGGAGCAAACGGGG